AACCAUCCACAAUGGCAGCUCCAAAUGGAAAUCAGGAGAGUGAAUAUAAUAAUCGUUCAAUGGCAUCGACGACCAUCACAAGCAUUCUUGCUACUGAACCUGGUAUGCACGAGAACGAUGACAUGCCGGAUUAUAUGAUCGCAAAGGUGUCAUCUGAUAAGAACGAAGACUUCAGUUGCACCAAUAUCGACCAGCCAAGGAAAGACCCUUUAGCUGAAAAGGGCUGUGGAAUGGUGGUGGAAAGCAGCACCAUUGAUUGGGGUCUUGAUGACUUGCCUGAUUAUAUAUUCAUGGAGGUGUUGCCUGACGGAGAUAAUGAUUCUAGUAACACCUACACUAACCAGCCUCAUCGAGGCCCUUUGACUGAAGAGGGAUGUGAGGUGGAGAUGGAGAUGCUGCUUCAAGGAGAUGAUGAAAUCAAUUGCACCAACGUUGAGCAGUCAAUAGGAGGUCCUUCAAUAGAAAAUAGUUGUGGGAUGGAGAUGGUGGGAAGUAGUAAUGUAGCUAACCGGGCCUGUGAUGACUUGCCUUACAUGGUCACGGAAGUGUUACCUCAGAGAGAUAAUUUCAGUUGGACCAACACUGAUCAACCAAGGGAAGAUGCUUCAGAGAAGGGCUCUGGGAUGCAGAUGGUAGGAAAUAACGCAGCAGAAAAGAUGGCAUGUGAGAAUGAGAAGAGGAAUCUGAACCAAAGGGACAUAGACCUGCUGGAAAUGGUGUCCUUCAACAAAUUCAAUACCUGGGGUUCUAUGAUAUGACUUUAACCCCAUUGUCAAAUGAUUGAAUUGGAGGGAAGUGUUCUUAAAAAGUUAUGGCAAAGGGAAGAUCUUUGAAACAAGCUUUUCAAAUAAAGGAGUGGAAAGGACAAUGUCAAGAUGCAAACUUUUACCAUUUUGUUUUUUCAGUCUCUUCCUUGUUCAAGCUUGAGCUGAUUUGAGCUAGAGUGGCACAAACUUUCUCCAUUUGUCUUGUAUUCUUCCUGGAUGAAAAGUUAGUUGCCUGUGCUCAGUAUUUUCCCAAAAAAUAUGUUUUUCUUUUUGGAAUAAAACAGUGCUGCUUGGAAUUAUUUUCUAGCUGUCUAAUUUUAGAAUGCUGGAAAUCGCAAUGGUAUCCAAAUGAUGAUUCAGUUUGAAGUUUGGCAAAAAAAAAAGCAUGAUGUUUGUUGUCAAUCGAUGUUUAAUUGCUUUCUUGUUGAACUAUAUAUGGAAGCUAUACUGCCUAAUUUCAUCCAUUCCAGGGGGCUCAAAUAAAGAAAUAAAGUAAAUAAUGGUCAGUGCAUUUAGGAAUGAGUGGUAGCAAAAAAGUGUUUGGUUUCACCAUUCUUUCUCACUCUCAAGUACAAAAUUUUCUUUUUCUUUUCAGGAUGAUGUUCAUGUAGCAUUGUAUUAAACCAUUCAAUCUCUAUGAAGCACUGCAGCUAAAAUUUUGUUAUAUUAUGUCCAUGUAAUCUCAUACUCAUCUGUUUAAACUCAUUUGCUGAAGAAAAUUAAUGAUAGAUAUUCCAUGUAUAUCCUAGUUAUUCCAGUACUAUUCUCUUCCAUUUCUUUCUUUUGCCUGGAAAGACAAAUUCCUUGACAGUCAAGAAAAGAUGUUACAUCUACAAAUCUUUAUCACAUAUGUAUCUUCUGCUUAUCUUAACCUUAUAGUUCUACUUGUUUACUUAUUUUAUAUGGUUCUUACAUGUUUUCUUGUAGCAUCACUGUCAAAUAUCCAUUAUCUAGUCCUUUGAUGUUAUUUGUGCACUUUUAUCUCAUUCCCUUUCAACAAACUCCUUGUAUAGAGGGUAACCACAGUCACCUCUUGAUCUCUCUGUCUUUGGCCAAAACCAUGGGUCUUUAAACAUGUACAUUUUUUUAAUCUUUAGGUUUCAUAAUUUUUAUGCUUAAUUUCUAAGUGUAGUCAUUUUUGAGUCCUGUAUUAUUCUAUGAAUCAUCAUACAUAUUGCAUAGUCAGGCUUCUUAGCUUGAUUUCAUCUUUUAUAGCAUUUUGAUAGCUUUUUUUUAAGUCUGUACUACAUUAUUCUCAAACACUAUGUGAAAUAAAUCUAUCAAAUAAUAACUGAAAUGGGAACACAAAAUAUAACCAUUUUAAAUAAAGUAACUUCUUAUUUUGCUCAUAACUGAAUUUAAGGUUUCAUGGGAUUCUAAUAUCUACUAAUUUAUGUCUGAUUGUAUAUUUUCUGACAUUGCAAUAUACAUGUUGGAUGUUAAAUUUCUACACAAUCAAGGAGGUGUACAAUUGGCUAGUGAGCUUCUAACUUAAACAUUUAGUUUUUUUUUCUUUUUUCUUUUUUCUUUUUGCCUUGAUAGGAAGUUUGCUUCACAGAAUAACCAUUAUAAUCAUUCAUUUCAUGAUAAAAUUAUUAGAAUUUGAUCCAAUAGCAAAUCAAAUCACCAAUUCCAUGAUAACCCAUUGUUGACUAGAUCAUCAAUGAUGUACUUUACAUUAAACUUCAGGCUCCUAUAUAUAGUCUCUAUUCUAUGAAGUUGUGUUAACUCUCUACUAUAUCAUCUCAAUCCUGAUUCCUACAUCUUGAUAUUAAAAUAUAGAAGGUCUAUAUUUUCCUGUAUAAAGUAGAAAGCAGUACUUUAAGACCUAACACAUAACCAGAUUGGAAAGCUGUCAAAGAGGCAUAGGAUAAGUAUAAAAAUGAUUGUUCAAACCAAACACAUUUUUCUCUUGUAAUUUUCACUUUAUCUUUUUAAAAUGAUUGAACAUGCCCCAUUUUUAAUUCCAUAAUAGAGGGGGUGUGUGUAAAAUAUGAUAUGAUAAUUUGCUUGGAAUUUUUUUGGAGAGUAUGUAAAUUUAGUAAAGUAUUAUUUUAGUAUUUAUUUGAGUUUAUUAAUUACAUGCAUACAUUAGUGAUGGGUCCUUGAAUUAGUGCUUAGAAUUUCUAUAGCUAUAACUUUUGCAGAUGAAGUGCUAUUGGAGUACAUUUAUUAGAUGCAUGCAUAAGUAGAUUCACAAAUGAGGAGCAGGUCCAUAUCAAGUGAAUUAUGGUAUCACUUAAUUAGAAUCAAUGAAAAAAGUGAAAUAUUGGAGCCUAGAAGUUACUCCAAUGCAUAAGACAGGUCAUAAUUACUGGAAGUUUCAUUGAUUGUCUCUUACAAUUUCUAAUAGUGUUACUUGGAAUUCAUGUAAGUAUGAUUAUCUGUAUUUGCAAGAUUUUAGUACAUUAAUUUAAAGGAGUAUAUGGAGCAUGAAAAACAAAAGAGUUUUAAAGUUAGAUGAUUUUCUUAGGAAUUUGUUGGGAAAGUGGACCAUAUUUUGUAAAGCAUAGAAGCGAGUAAUAAAGCACACUAAUUAUAUAGAUGCAUAAAUGAAUUCAUAUGAAAAGAAGGUUCACCAAAUUUUUCAUUUAGGAUUUCUAUGCAUUAUCCCUUAGAGUUUAUGUAAAAUUUAAUGAACUAUUAUUGUAUGCAUUACUUACAUAUCUUUGUAAGUUAAAAACGUGAAGAAGGUUUAUGAAACAGACUAUUAGACUUUCUAUGAGUUCACUGGAAAUGCAAUGCAAUAAAAUAUUAUUUAGAAUGCAUUAAUUGCAUGGAGGUUCAUGAAAUUAUCUAUUGAAGAAUAUACUAGCAUCACCUAGAAUUGAAAUAUCAAGUAUAAUGUAGUAUUAUUAGAGUGCAUUAGUUACAUAUAUGCAAGUGUCUAAAAAAAGUGAGGAGUUUUGUAUAAUUCUUAAAGAUUCUUACCAGUCACAUGAAAUUCAUGUAGCUAUUAAUUACUUGUGCUAGUCUAGAGAGAGAGAGAGAGACAGGGGGGGAGGUUGAAUAAUUAUUAGAUGUUUUUCCUUGGAAAGAUGGAAGGGAAACAAAUUUGUCAAGUAUUCAUUAAAGUAUUUAAAGAAGUGCAUUAAUUACAUGCAUAUAUGAAUGGAGACAUUAGUGAAAAGAAUGUUAAAAAUAAACGUCUUAGGGUUUCCAUAGAGUAUCCUUUGAAAUCCUUAUAAAAUAAAUGGUAUUAAUUGAUUGCAUAAUAUAUUGAAGUAUUAGAGCACACUAGUUACAUAAAAUAUAAAUCAAGUCAUAGAUAAGGAUAAUUUAUAUUGAUGUUACCUAAACAUGGCACUAAUAGAAAAAUUUCAUGGUAUAUAACAAAAUGGAUUGAUGCAAUUUAUGGGGUUGAAGUGAUACAUGAUAAGGAUGCAGUAUAGGACACCAAUCCCCUUAUAAAAUGUGGCAUGGAGCCUUCUUUUGGAAUCAAAGUUAGACGCUAAUGUAUUUUUUAUUAGAAUUUUAUAAUAAUGAGUAAUCUCAAAAAUAUAUUUAAAACUGAUGGUGUCAACAACUAUAUUUGGUAAAAUUAUUGAGGAACAAUACUAAUGACUAGGUUCAGGUCCCACCCUAACCCUAUUUUGGUUGUGUUUCUUCUCUUCUUAGCUCUCAAAAAAAUAAAAAAUAAAAAUUAUAAUAGUAUGACUAGAAUUCAUAUUAUUUAUAAUUAAGUAUAUUGGAAUACAUUAGGUAUAUACAUGCAAAUGUGAAGCCAUUAACGAGAAAGUUUUGUGAAAUAGUCCCUUGGGGUUUCCAUAAUAGUGUCACAUGGAAUUCAUAAACAUCAACUUACUUGGAAAGUAAACCAAGUAAAUUUACUAAAAGUCCUGCAAUAUAUAAAAGACAAUAUAUAAAUGUCCAAGAGAAGAAAUUCUAGGAGGUGCUACAUCUAGGGCUGCAAAUAGGUCGGGUCAACCCGUGACUCAACCCAUGUAAGACCCGACCCGACCCGAAUUUUAGGACUCGUAGGNNNNNNNNNNNNNNNNNNNNNNNNNCGACCCAAACCCAAACCCGACCCGACCCAUUUUUUUUAGAUGGAAAGUUGUGCUUGUUCAAAUGUUUUAGAUGCAGAAACCUGCAGCCUAAAUGUUGGGAAAGUUGAUUUUGUUUUAAUCUGUGUAUUUUAUGCUCAAUGUGAGGCAUAAUAAUAUUUUUAUCUCUUUCUUAUUCCAAAAAGACGUUGAUGUACUCUUCUUAUUGGUUAAAAUAAUCAGUGGAAAGAUGGUUGCCUUGAUGCUUGGGACCGACUUGUUGAAUUUAGAGAAUGUUGAAUUUGAACAUGUGAAUAUAGCUUAUCUUGUAAAAUGUCUAUUUUCUUUUCCAAAAAGAAUUAGGGCAAUAAUUGCCUGAUGUUAUUUACUAUUAUAUAGUGGAACUUUGAAUAUAAAAAUACAUAGACUUGCACUUGGACCCGGACCCGACCUGAAUGACCCGUCGGGUCAAAAUUUUUAGGCAUGGACCCAACCCGACUCGACCCGAUUUUCAACUGGAUCGGGUCUGGAUCCAAAAUUAGGACUCGAACAAGAAAUCAGAUCGGAUCGGGGUUACUCAGGACCUGACCCGACCCGAUCCAUUUGCAGCCCUAGCUACAUCAAAGAAACCACAUCUCGGGUGUCAACCAUGUAACAAUAAUAUUGAGUCCAUUCGAUAUUAUUUAUUUUUAUAUACUAAGGGUAUGUAGUUUGGAGGCCCUUUACACCAAAUCAACCUUAUAUGAUCGAGAUUAUUGACUUUUAGGCUACGGGUCUAUAUCCCCAAGAAGAGACCAACUAAUUUUGAUUAAGCUAUGAAUCAAUUUCAUCUUGCUCAUACUUCAGCAAGGGAUGUAACCAAGCCAAACAUGAGCGAACUAAGUCUUCUUCAAGCUCGAAUCGAAAUAAAAGAAUAGCUUAACUUGUGCUUGAGUCAAGCUAAGAAACUCUAGCUAUAGAUUGCCUUGUAGUCAAGCUAGCUUAAGCUCAACUCAUGAAUCCUCGAAAACUAAAUUGAGAUGAGAAAAAGCUCAUGAGCUCGAUGAUGAAUCAGCUCAAUAAUGGUCUCAAUUCAACUUUUAACCAAAUAAAAAUUUAAUCAAAGAAAAAAGAAAGAAUCAAAUCAUACCUUUUUUAAGAUGAUCUUCUCUUGGAAACUCUAAUUCCUCACCGCCCAUGCUCCCCCUCCAUGGCAAUCCCACGAACAUUACCUUGCUUGUAUAAUCGAGGACUCGAACUCCUCAGAUGCUUGAAGAACAAGCGGCGAUAUGGUUCCAAUAGGUAUAUUUGAUCUCAAAGUCUUUGUUUUGAUAUCAAAUUCUAAUAAGUGAAUAGCAUCAAAAGAAUAGGGUAGAGUACAAAAAAGAUAGAAGUUAAAAGAUUAUAGAGAUCUAACCUCUUGCAAGUAUUGGAUGGCUUGCUCCAUGUAUACGAUCUAACAAUCAUAAGCUUUGAAGGGGAAAUACAAAUCGAUCCCCCAAUCUCGUGAAUCUGCAUUUCCAUAGCACCAAAAGAAAUCUCUCAAGCUUCUGAGAGAUUCAAUGUUCGUUCACAAGAGUGAACGUGGUUCUUGAUGAAACUCUAGAAAGGGAGGGGGGCAAGAGAGAGAGAGAGAGAUUAUAGAUUUACAAGAAAUACUAGAAAUUGUAUGGAGAAAGGAGUGGAAGAGAGGGUUUGGGUUCUUGCUGGCUAGGUGGAUGCCACGAUGGGAGAGAAAGGUAAAGGGAAAGUGCUUCAACUUUAGGGCUUCAUCCCUUUUCACUCUACACAUCAAAAGCUAGAGCCAUUCAAUUGGGCUAUUUAUUACCUAUAACUCUU
rnacentral:lncRNA from 1 species